UAGAUUUCUGCACAAGCAUCCAGAGGAUCCGUCUGAGGUGCCCAAUGGUUUCCUGAGUGACAUUAACCCUAAUUCCCUUCAGGUGAUCAGCGGUGCCUUAGUGGAUACCUCAGUCAGAGGAGCAAAGGUUUUUGACCGAUUCCAGUUCGAGAGAGUUGGCUUCUUCUCCCUGGACCCUGACAGCACCACAGACAAGCUCAUCUUCAAUAGAACAGUCACCCUCAAAGAAGACCCGGGGAAGAUCUGAUGGGCUGAGUUGAAGCCGCACUUCUGUUUCUCAAGAGCCCACAAAUAAACGUCCACAUUCUUUGUAUCACUUAAUGCUUAUAUCAGCAAAGGCACAGUGUGCUUAGGCUGAGACUGACUAAAAUCAGAUAUUGUAACAAUGUUCAUAUUUUUAAGCUUCUGUUAAUCUGUCUCACUGCAACUGGACAAUGUAUUUCUUUUUCCUUGGCUGUCAGCUGUAUACUUCAUAAGAGAAUUAUGGACUACAAAUUAACGUUUGUACCUCUUUUACCAAUUUCAAGCUUGGCCAGCGUCAGAGUCCUGUAGGUUUUUUUU